rnacentral:rRNA from 1 species
CCUACGGGGGGCAGCAGUGGGGGAUAUUGCACAAUGGGGGAAACCCUGAUGCAGCGACGCCGCGUGUGGGAAGACGGUCCUCUGGAUUGUAAACCACUGUCACCAGGGACGAAGAUGACGGUACCUGGGGAGGAAGCUCCGGCUAACUACGUGGCAGCAGCCGCGGUAAUACGUAGGGAGCUAGCGUUGUCCGGAAGUACUGGGUGAAAAGGGAGCGUAGGCGGGACUGCAAGUUGGGUGUCAAAUCUACCGGCUUAACCGGUAGCCGCACGCAAAACUGCAGUUCUUGAGUGAAGUAGAGGCAGGCGGAAUUCCUAGUGUAGCGGUGAAAUGCGUAGAUAUUAGGAGGAACACCAGUGGCGAAGGCGGCCUGCUGGGCUUUUACUGACGCUGAGGCUCGAAAGUGUGGGGAGCAAACAGGAUUAGAUACCCUGGUAGUC